CUAGGAAGAGGUAGUAGGUUGCAUAGUUUUAGGGCUGUUUUUUUGCCCAGGAGGAGGUAACUAUACAACCCGCUGCCUUUCUUGG